GAGUUUGAUCGUGGCUCAGGACGAACGCUGGCGGCGUGCCUAACACAUGCAAGUCGAACGGUCUAAUACUCAACACUGAGUGUUCAGCUAACGAGCUGAAUGUUGAGUGUUGAGUGUUAGAUAGUGGCGAACGGGUGAGUAACGCGUAGAUAAUCUGCCUCAAAGAUGGGGACAACACUUGGAAACGAGUGCUAAUACCGAAUGUGGUAUCUUAUGUGCAUACAUGAGAUAAAAAAGAUGGCCUCUGAAUAUGCUAUCGCUUUGAGAUGAGUCUGCGUCUGAUUAGCUAGUUGGAGAGGUAAAAGCUCACCAAGGCGACGAUCAGUAGCCGGUCUGAGAGGAU
rnacentral:rRNA from 1 species